GCAUGGUUUUGGAUUUUUGACAGGCCCGUUCUCUUGGGCCUCUCGUGGUGCCCCCUGACAGAGCAAACUGUGGCCCUGAACUCUGUGCCUGUAGGCUGCUGGCACUGAAGUGGGUUGCACAGUG
ensembl:snoRNA